rnacentral:tRNA from 1 species
GCCGGAGUGGCGCAAUCGGUAGCGCAUCCGCCUUGUAAGCGGCAGGUUGCGGGUUCAAGUCCCGUCUCCGGCU